UCUACGGGUGGCAGCAGUGAGGAAUAUUGGUCAAUGGGCGCGAGCCUGAACCAGCCAAGUAGCGUGAAGGAUGACUGCCCUACGGGUUGUAAACUUCUUUUAUAAAGGAAUAAAGUGAGGCACGUGUGCCUUUUUGUAUGUACUUUAUGAAUAAGGAUCGGCUAACUCCGUGCCAGCAGCCGCGGUACUACGGAGGAUCCGAGCGUUAGCCGGAUUUAUUGGGUUUAAAGGGAGAGUAGAUGGGUUGUUAAGUCAGUUGUGAAAGUUUGCGGCUCAACCGUAAAAUUGCAAUUGAUACUGGCAGCCGUGAGUACAGUUGAGGUAGGCGGAAUUCGUGGUGUAGCGGUGAAAUGCUUAGAUAUCACGAAGAACUCCGAUUGCGAAGGCAGCUUACUAAACUGCCACUGACAUUGAUGCUCGAAAGUGUGGGUAUCAAACAGGAUUAGAUACCCUUGUAGUC
rnacentral:rRNA from 1 species